rnacentral:snRNA from 1 species
UGAAAUGGAAGGUUGAAAAGUAU